rnacentral:tRNA from 1 species
UUUGGUGCUAUAGGCAGCACAUCAGUCUUGCAAGCUGAAGGUCCCGAGUUUGAUCCUCAGAA